AUAAACCAAAAAACACGCCAAUUUCAACUCACAUAAAUCACGCUACAGCAAACCCAUAUCCCAUCCUCCUUCCAAAUCAACAACAAUGGUUGCUCCCUCUCUCCCCUCCUCAUAUCUCUCCUUGGGACAACCUCCAUGUACCCUUCUGCACAACCAUCUCCUCCACCCCGAAAAUUCGCGCAACAGUGGAGUCACCACAAUUUCGGGGAUAAGGAUGCAUUUUUUUUCAAAUUUACCAUAGCAAUUCUGAAAAGUGGGAGAUUUGGAUUCAAAAAUUCAAAUCCAUCUCGAUAUUGGGUCUCCUUCUUCAAUUUCGGUUUCAAAUCCGGACGUUCAAGUCCGGAUUUGGCCUAUAAAUAGGUUGUUGUUCACCCUAGAGGAUGGGGGAAAAAGAAAAAAAAAAAAGCUUGAAAAUUGGGUAAAAGAGCAGUAAAAAUCCGAAGGGGAAGAAAAUCAACGAAAGAGUGAAAAAAUAGUGUAAAAUCGAGUGAAAAAUAGAGGAAAUUAGAACGCAGACGUUUGGUAUCCUCGGGGUUGAGUUCGCUCACCGGAAAACUCUCGACGUGUAAGCCCCUUAGUUUGCUGCCUGAAAAAGAUUUCAAAAAGACAAAGAUGGGAGAUAUAUUAAAUAUGCGCUGUAAUGUACGAGAGCUUUGAACUCAACUCUUAUCCAGAGUUGUUGAGUUGUUCUUUGUGAGAAGGCUGUUGUAUCCUGAAGGGGACAAUGCAAGAAGAUUACUGUUGGACGGAUGGACACAUUUGCUGCACUAGGCUUGAAUCUCCUUAAAGAGAGCGGAUAUCCACACCUCAGCCGACGAAUACGAAGAAACUAUUCUUUUUUAUUUUCUUCACUUGUAAUUUUCAAUUGUAAUUUUAUUGUAAUUGUACCAACAAAUUUUAAGAAAAUUUAAUGGCAGUGACUGAAAAAUUCACGGUUGUCAA